rnacentral:sRNA from 1 species
UGUGAUUGCUCGCAAAAUUUGCCUGACGACUACAUCACAGUAGAAACACAAUGGUCAUCGGAACUAUUACUCGAGGAAAAUAAAAAUCAUCCGCAUAACACCUACAACUACAACCACACCAGCACCAGGGCCAAUUACAUUGUUCAUCUCACUACUGUACUACGACCCAACUAUCUCAAGAAGAAUAAAAAAUGAUACGACUUUUGUAUAACAAUAGCAGGUCUCAAUCCUGCGAAUACUCCAGCACCUGCCCCUCUAAAAGCCUCUGCAUUCCGUUCAAUUUAUCCACCAUUCCUUUCAACUUUUCCGGCACCGAGUUUCUGAAUUUGGGGUCGAGUGUAUACGACAGAUCGUGUUGCAGGAUGUUUCGUGCUCGAGAGGUAUCGCCAGAUGGGGGACAGCCAUAGCAACCAUGAAGGGUUCGGCGCUUUGUGGUGGGAUCAUAGCUUCCUAUGUGGACUACAACUUAGGCCUCAGCUCGGUUCUGGAGAGAAAGUCAUGUUGUGUUGUGAGCCGGUGAAAAUCAACGACGACGUACUGAUGUGGUUGUUGUAGAACACCGUUUCGCCAGCCUUGAGCUUUACCUUGAUACCACCUGGCAUUUCUCCCUCUCCCAGCAGUGCCUUCUUUUCAUCGGGAGUGCUUACUCUGAGAUGCGAUUUAGGUACGACAGAGAGACACUCGUCGUCGUAUAGAGCAGCAUUCCAUUGGAUGCCAUGAUAGUCUUUCUGCAGAGCUGCGAUUUCCUCUUGGGGAGUGGCUGUGGGCUUGACAUCGUCUCGAUGCCAUACAAGGGUAUAAGCUGCGUUGGUGGGAUUGAUGAGGAGGUUAAACAGUUCUGUGAUGGAUAAUUUAGCCUCCUGAAAGCGUCAUUGUGGCGACCAAAAAUGGAUCAAGUGUGCUCACCGAACUGCAUAUCCUCCUGUUCACAACCCAUCAAAGCUCUUGAUACCUCCAGCAUCUCUUCGCUCCCAUACCAUUCCGCAAACACCUUCUGCCCCAAGUCCGGAUGCAUUACAUUCUGUACACCCCAGAUAUCCUCUUUAUCCUUUGCGUCCCAGGGCGGGAACGGUUUACCUACAAUGCGGACGUUGUCCCAUUUGCCCGAACGGGAUAGAUUGACAAUGUGGUCUGCAGAUUCACGGAGAAGGGGGAAGAGAUGGUCAGGAAUGAGGGAAGGGACGAUCACAUAACCGUGGGUGUGGUAGUGUUCACGGAAAGAAGAGAGUUCGUCGGGAUUGAACUGUGACAUUGUAAUGGGCUAGGUUGAGGUUGCUGCCAUAUAGAUGAAAGAGGCAUGGAGAUGCAAUGUGGCGAGAUAGCAUGGGUUUUUAUAGCAUAUCGGCGGGCGAAACAUAUGAC